rnacentral:piRNA from 1 species
UGAUAAGACUCCCUGGGCAUGUCGCCAA